AUUGAACGCUGGCGGCAGGCCUAACACAUGCAAGUCGAGCGGAUGACGGGAGCUUGCUCCUUGAUUCAGCGGCGGACGGGUGAGUAAUGCCUAGGAAUCUGCCUGGUAGUGGGGGACAACGUUUCGAAAGGAACGCUAAUACCGCAUACGUCCUACGGGAGAAAGCAGGGGACCUUCGGGCCUUGCGCUAUCAGAUGAGCCUAGGUCGGAUUAGCUAGUAGGUGGGGUAAUGGCUCACCUAGGCGACGAUCCGUAACUGGUCUGAGAGGAUGAUCAGUCACACUGGAACUGAGAGACGGUCCAGACUCCUGCGGGAGGCAGCAGUGGGGAAUAUUGGACAAUGGGCGAAAGCCUGAUCCAGCCAUGCCGCGUGUGUAAAGAAGGUCUUCGGAUUGUAAAGCACUUUAAGUUGGGAGGAAGGGCAGUAAGUUAAUACCUUGCUGUUUUGACGUUACCGACAGAAUAAGCACCGGCUAACUCUGUGCCAGCCGCCGCCGUAUCAC
rnacentral:rRNA from 1 species